GCCAGAGCUCUCCUAGCGCAUGUACUUUCUUCCGUGGCCAGCAGCAGCGACAAAAAAUCUGGGCACUUAGGGUGAGAUAGACAAGCAUGAUUUUCCUUUUUGUAAUGAUAUUUGCACUCUAGAAGUAGUUCUUGCUUCAUGAGAUUCUGCUUAUGUUUAUUUUCAGAUUUCAGGACUGACGUAGAGGAAAUGAUUAGUAUUUUGAGCCGAUCGUGGACCUGUGGUAGUUGAUAUGCUUGAUUGUUCUGCUCUAGAUAGUUAUACGCUUUACUGCAGUUUUAAUAUCUGGUCAGUUGAGAAAAAAAUAUUAGUCUUCCUUUAUAUAGGUAUGUUGCCUUGCUGAGGCUGCUUUGCUUUUGCUAUAUUUGCUGCUCUUGGCUAUACUAUUGUUCUGUAUAUAUACAGGUCGGAGAAGAGAGCAGCAGCCUAUUACUACUGAUUUUGUUCAAGCAGCUACUUGCUUACUGUUACACAUCUACACAGGCAAGGCUGCUGAUUGCUGAUUGCAAUCCAUUCAUGAUAUGUAGAUAUGUAUGCUUCUGCUAGGUACUUGUGAACAGGGAGACAACGAAUGGACGCUUCAGUGCUAGCCGGCCGGUGGCCACGCAUUGGCAGCCACUGCUUGGAUACAUAACUCCAGCCAGCUAUGGUGAGCAGACUUUGAUCUUGGUAUGUUAGUCCGAGUGGAUAAACAUUACUAGAUGUUCAAUGUGAUGUGACUGUAUUGGUUGGACGUCGAUUGGGAUAUAAGUAGGACAUAGCCACAUAUGAUUUUUUUUCCAGUUGCCAUAUGAUGGAAAUCAGUAGCUUGAUUUUCUGUUCAACAAACGUUCAUGGUAUGUGUGUGUGCUUGAUAAAAUGCCCGUCCGAGCAAACAAUUUGUUGUGUGCUACCUAAGAUAUGCAAGUUGGAUAUGGAGGAGAAUCAUGUACAACCCUUAGGUUCUAUGGUUAAUUUGUUUAAACUAGGAGGUGGUCAUCAAGUUUGAGAUGGCAAGUGUAGGUGCUAUAUACUGUUUUCCAUGAACCAAUAAAAUGCAUUGGCUAUUUUUCUACUCAGAUUUGUUUGUUAUUUCUGAUGGAACAUGAAAAUACUUCUGAAAGGAUUAUAAUUUCUACCUGAGAUUUCAGUUGUUUUGUAGAUAGUAAAAC
rnacentral:lncRNA from 1 species